UAACGGCGAGUGAAGCGGCAACAGCUCAAAUUUGAAAUCUGGCCCCUAGGGUCCGAGUUGUAAUUUGUAGAGGAUGCUUCUGGCGCGGUGCCUUCCGAGUUCCCUGGAACGGGACGCCAUAGAGGGUGAGAGCCCCGUCUGGUUGGACGCCAAGCCUCUGUGAAGCUCCUUCGACGAGUCGAGUAGUUUGGGAAUGCUGCUCUAAAUGGGAGGUAUAUGUCUUCUAAAGCUAAAUACCGGCCAGAGACCGAUAGCGCACAAGUAGAGUGAUCGAAAGAUGAAAAGCACUUUGAAAAGAGGGUUAAACAGUAUGUGAAAUUGUUGAAAGGGAAGCGCUCAUGACCAGACUUGGGCCUGGUGAAUCAUCCGGCGUUCUCGCCGGUGCACUUUACCGGUCCAGGCCAGCAUCAGUUCGCCUCGGGGGAUAAAGGCUUCGGGAAUGUGGCUCCCUCGGGAGUGUUAUAGCCCGUUGUGUAAUACCCUGCGGCGGACUGAG
rnacentral:rRNA from 1 species